GUUUUAAGCAUGCAAGUCGAGCGGCAGCACUUCGGGUGGCGAGCGGCGAACGGGUGAGUAACACGUAGGUUAUCUGCCUUGUAGACUGGGAUAGCCACUGGAAACAGUGAUUAAUACCGGAUAUUGUCCUUCGGGAUGAAAGCUGCGUUUGCAGCACUACAAGAUGAGCCUGCGUCCUAUUAGCUUGUUGGCGGGGUAACGGCCUACCAAGGCGACGAUAGGUAGCCGGCCUGAGAGGGUGAUCGGCCACAUUGGGACUGAGAUACGGCCCAGACUCCUACGGGAGGCAGCAGCUAAGAAUAUUCCGCAAUGGGCGCAAGCCUGACGGAGCAAUGUCGCGUGUGUGAUGAAGGCUUUCGAGUUGUAAAGCACUUUCAGCAGGGAAGAAUUACGUACUGUGAAAACAGUACUGGUUGACGGUACCUGCAGAAGAAGUACCGGCUAAUUACGUGCCAGCAGCCGCGGUAAUACGUAGGGUGCAAACGUUGUUCGGAAUCACUGGGCGUAAAGGGUGUGUAGGCGGCCUAUUAAGUUAGUGGUGAAAACUUGCGGCUUAACUGCAAGCCUGCCAUUAAUACUGAUUGGCUUGAGUCGUUUAUAGAGGUAGCGGGAAUUCCUAGUGUAGGAGUGAAAUCUGUAGAUAUUAGAAGGAACACCAAUGGCGUAGGCAAGCUACUGGGUAAUGACUGACGCUCAUGUACGAAAGCCAGGGGAGCGAAUGGGAUUAGAGACCCCAGUAGUCCUGGCCGUAAACGCUGCAUACUAGUUCUAUGGGAAUCUUUUUUUCCGUGGAACGUAGCUAACGCGUUAAGUAUGCCGCCUGGGGAGUAUGCACGCAAGUGUGAAACUCAAAGGAAUUGACGGGGGCUCGCACAAGCGGUGGAGCAUGUGGUUUAAUUCGAUGAUACGCGAAAAACCUUACCUAGGCUUGAACGUGUAGUGACAUCCUGUGAAAGCAGGCUUCUCUUCGGAGCACUAUGCGAGGUGCUGCAUGGCUGUCGUCAGCUCGUGUUGUGAAAUGUUGGGUUAAGUCCCGCAACGAGCGCAACCCUUAUCCUAAGUUGCCAGCGAGUCAUGUCGGGUACUCUAGGGAGACUGCCGGUGUUAAGCCGGAGGAAGGUGGGGAUGACGUCAAGUCCUCAUGGCCUUUAUGUCCAGGGCUACUCACGUGCUACAAUGGCCGGUACAGAGAGUCGCGAUCCCGCGAGGGCAAGCUAAUCUCAAAAAAGCCGGUCUCAGUUCGGAUUGGAGUCUGCAAUUCGACUCCAUGAAGUAGGAAUCGCUAGUAAUCGCGGAUCAGCAUGCCGCGGUGAAUACGUUCCCGGGCCUUGUACACACCGCCCGUCACACCACGAAAGCUGCUUGAACCAGAAGUCCGCAAACCAACCGCAAGGAGGGAGCGGCCCAAG
rnacentral:rRNA from 1 species